UCUUUUUUAAGUAGAUGUUAUUUUUCUAUCUUUUGUGAGUACUGAAGCGUCGCCGAUACACCGCCAUGUUGGUAGUGGCAGUUUUGAUGGUAAUGAAUAGUGCUGUAGUAAAUUAUGGAUCACGUUUGGGAGAAAAUACAUUCAUAUUAAUUUUACUGAUAUGAUGUAGUGUCAAUGCUGGUUCUACUGCGGUGAUGGGCGCUGUUAAUAUUAUUACUCAGUAACGCAGCUGUUACGUCAUCAAAUAAUCGCCGGAGAUGGUCAAUUUGCAUGCGCAUUAGAAUUAUGCAUGGGCGCCAUUGGUUGUUAGAUUUUGCGGCUUUUUCGUUGCUUUGUUGAUGUUUCUUUGUUUUGGUGCCAUGACACAUUUUGUUUGUCCUUGUGAUAUUGUAAAUUACUAAAAAUUAGUAUUUUUAUUAUUUGUGAUAUAAUAGCCGCUUUGUGACAACGGCUUUAUUCUUUCUGCAUUGGUGACUACUACCUUAUUAAAAACAAACCAAUUUGAUGAUUUCCGCAGGAAGUUGAUUUUCUGCGACGUGUUAGUGGUCACGUUACCAGGCUAGAGUCAUUGCGGAGAAAGUGCUACCAUAUUGAUAAUGGAUUUCACUGUUCCAAGGCAGAAAGCAAAGGGACAUAGAAAUGCAGCUGGAAAAUUAUUCCAAGCGUUAGCUGAACCAAAAAUCAAUUUGGACACAGGGUAGAACUAACAGGAGGAAACAUCUGUCAUAUGUUGUGCAUUGAAUUUGCAAGACAUUCCCAUUGUAAUUCUCUCUCUUCAUUUCAAGAAGCACAAAGGUUUGUUCGAGACCGUGGUGCAAGCAGUAUUUACUUUAUUCAUUACAGAUCAAUUUAUAUCUGUCUUACUAUAUUUUCCAUCACUGUACCCAUAUCUGCUAGCUUGCCUGGCCAGAUGUCUGACAGAACUACUCUUUGGAGGAUUACUUAUUUAUUUUUGGACCUUUACCUCUACUACUGACCCUUUAUUACUCCUCAAUAAGUAGCCCAUUAUUUUUAAGGAGGUGACAUUAUAUAGUAUCUGAGAAAUGUUUUCUUUUUUUUCUUCUUUAAUUAUGCAUGGGAACAUGAAACUUGGAUGGUGAGAACUGACGUUUAUAUUCCCUUAAGAUUCAACUUCAGAAGAUGGGUUACCAAAGCACAACGUUGUCAUGGAAAUUUAUGAUUUUGCAUAUU